UACUGCCUGCCCGGUGACUUGAGUUAAACGGCCGCGGUAUUUUGACCGUGCGAAGGUAGCAUAAUCAUUUGCCUUUUAAAUGGAGGCUGGUAUGAAUGGCAAGACGGGGGUCUAGCUGUCUUCAUUCUGUGAAUUUGAAGUUAAUUUUUUUGUGAAGAAGCAGAGAUAAAGCCGCGGGACGAGAAGACCCUGUCGAGCUUAAGCGAGUUUUGUGUAGCUUUUGAUGGGGCCUUCUUGUGCUAAUACUAGUCCCAUGGAUUAAGUAAAUUUACUUAGGGUUGGCUUUAGGCUUAUACAGACUGUUUGGGUUGGGGCAACCGCGGAGAACAAGUAUCCUCCGCUAAAGUUGACUAAGAAAGGUGGUAGUUUUCUGGUACAGUUGUUUAGUGUGACCCGCCAGAUUGGGCGAUUAAAAGAAUAAGUUACCGCAGGGAUAACAGCGUAAUUUCUUUAGAGAGUUCGUAUUGAGAAAGAAGUUUGCGACCUCGAUGUUGGAUCGAGAUUUCCUGGGGUGCAGCAGCUCUCAAGGGUUGGUCUGUU
rnacentral:rRNA from 1 species